AGUGAACGCUGGCGGUAGGCCUAACACAUGCAAGUCGAACGGCAGCACAGGAGAGCUUGCUCUCUGGGUGGCGAGUGGCGGACGGGUGAGGAAUACAUCGGAAUCUACUCUGUCGUGGGGGAUAACGUAGGGAAACUUACGCUAAUACCGCAUACGACCUACGGGUGAAGGCAGGGGACCUUCGGGCCUUGCGCGAUUAAAUGAGCCGAUGUCGGAUUAGCUAGUUGGCGGGGUAAAGGCCCACCAAGGCGACGAUCCGUAGCUGGUCUGGGGGGAUGAUCAGCCGCACUGGAACUGAGACACGGCCCAGACGCCUACGGGAGGCAGGAGUGGGGAAUAUUGGACAAUGGGCGCAAGCCUGAUCCAGCCAUACCGGGUGGGUGAAGAAGGCCUUCGGGUUGUAAAGCCCUUUUGUUGGGAAAGAAAUCCAGCUGGCGAAUACCCGGUUGGGAUGACGGUACCCAAAGAAUAAGCACCGGCUAACUUCGUGCCAGCAGCCGCAGUAA
rnacentral:rRNA from 1 species